UACGGAGGGGGGCGAGCGUUAUUCGGAAUUAUUGGGCGUAAAGGGCGCGUAGGCGGCCUUUCAAGUGACGGGUGAAAUCCCUCGGCUUAACCGAGGAACUGCCUGUCAGACUGGAAGGCUUGAGACCGGGAGAGGUGAGUGGAAUUCCCAGUGUAGCGGUGAAAUGCGUAGAUAUCUGGAGGAAUACCGGUGGCGAAGGCGGCAUCCUGGACCGACAUUGACGCUGAUGAGCGAAAGCUAGGGGAGCAAACGGG
rnacentral:rRNA from 1 species